GAUGAACGCUGACAGAAUGCUUAACACAUGCAAGUCGAGCGAGUGGCGGACGGGUGAGUAAUGUCUGGGAAACUGCCUGAUGGAGGGGGAUAACUACUGGAAACGGUAGCUAAUACCGCAUACCAUCGGAUGUGCCCAGAUGGGAUUAGCUAGUAGGUGGGGUAACGGCUCACCUAGGCGACGAUCCCUAGCUGGUCUGAGAGGAUGACCAGCCACACUGGAACUGAGACACGGUCCAGACUCCUACGGGAGGCAGCAGUGGGGAAUAUUGCACAAUGGGCGCAAGCCUGAUGCAGCCAUGCCGCGUGUAUGAAGAAGGCCUUCGGGUUGUAAACUCCUUUCGACAGGGACGCGGUACCUGUAUAAGAAGCACCGGCUAACUACGUGCCAGCAGCCGCGGUAAUUC
rnacentral:rRNA from 1 species